AACUGACGGUGCAGUAGUAGUAGUAUUAGAAAUGCUUAGUUGCGUGUUAGGCGUAAGCUUUGUAUCUGCUAACAUUAACAUUAGUUUUAGGUGCUGCUUGAGCAAUAAUUCUACUUUUGAAGGGUCCGUGUUUGCUCCGACUUCGUCACCAAACUAGCUAGGUUUGAAGCGGUUACGAGUCUGAGUUUCGAAGACGAUCAGAUACCGUCGUAAUUUUGACCAUAAACAAUGUCACCUGACGAUCCGCGUUGGUUCUAUAAUUGACAUCGCGGGCAGUCCCCGGGAAACCUUUAAGUCUUUGGGCUCCAGGGGGAGUAUGGUUGCAAAGCUGAAACUUAAAGAAAUUGACGGAAGGGCACCACCAGGAUUGGAGCCUGUGGAUUAAUUCGAUUCAACACGGGAAAACUCACCCGGCCCGGACACUGUGAGGAUUGACAGCUCUUUCUUGAUUCGGUGGGUGAUGGUGCAUGGCCGUUCUUAGUUGGUGGAGCGAUAUGUCUGGUUAAUUCCGAUAACGAACGAGACUUUAACCUGCUAAAUAGUAGACUAGUCCUCUGUGCUCGUUUAUGGCGCGGGUUCUAUUGCUUCUUUAUGGAGCAGUGUGGUCGUGAUCCGGCGGGUGCGGUGCCAGUUUUUACUUCUUAGAGGGACAAGCGGCACACUCAAGUUGCACGAAAUUGAGCAAUAACAGGUCUGUGAUGCCCUUAGAUGUCCGGGGCCACACGUGCGCCACAAUGACGGUGCCAGCGAGUCUAAGAACCUGGCCCGAAAGGGUUAGACAAACUGUUUCAUCACCGUCGUGACUGGGAUCGGGGCUUGCAAUUAUUCCCCGUGAACGAGGAAUUCC
rnacentral:ncRNA from 1 species